GUGCCAGCAGCCGCGGUAAUACGGAGGGUGCGAGCGUUGUCCGGAUUUAUUGGGUUUAAAGGGUGCGUAGGUGGCCCGGUCAGUCAGUGGUGAAAUGCGGCCGCUCAACGGUCGAACUGCCAUUGAUACUGCCGGGCUUGAGACAGAUGGAGGCCGCCGGAACGGAUGGUGUAGCGGUGAAAUGCAUAGAUAUCAUCCAGAACACCGAUUGCGAAGGCAGGUGGCUACGCCUGGUCUGACACUGAGGCACGAAAGCAUGGGGAGCAAACAGGAUUAGAUACCCUGGUAGUCC
rnacentral:rRNA from 1 species